rnacentral:lncRNA from 1 species
CACUAGCCGAGAAAAGCAGGGAGAUAUCUACUGCCUGAGCCAAGCGGUAGAGGGUAGGAAGAAUAGUGUGUGGUAUGAGUGUACAGUUGGGCAAGAUAAUUUUUAAGUACAUCUUAAAGGCACAUAAGUAGGAUUUCAAUAGACUUGCCUAGAGGGAUUCUAGAUGAAGGAAAGAGCAUAAGCAAAGACAGAAAUGGGAAGGGCCUGACCUUGGACUUCUAGAGGGCUAACUUGGAGAUGGGAAGGAGGAGUUGGUGCUGGAAGCUUGAGAAAGAAUCUAAAGGGAAUUGACUCCAGCUAUAUUGCUACUGUGGGUGUGGAAAGCAUCUGCUCAAACAUGACCAUCUGCUUGGAAAAUUCAUUUAAAGUAAAGGUCUUCCAUACAUCUAAUGGCUUCUUUCCAAGGGAGCUGUCUUCCAAGCAACGACCUAGAGAUCCAGGGUGCUUCCACUUUUGUGCUCCGUCAUCUCAGCACAAUGCUGCCAGGUCACUGUAGCAGGAAAAGAAAGGGAUGGAUUUUCAUGCAGUGACUUCUUACUGCCUUGGGCAGGAAAUGACUCAGCACACAGACUAGAUGAGAUCAUGCAGAAGAUGUCGAGUGAGAAAGCCUGAGAGAGCCUUGAAUGAUCAGCAGAGGGAAAAGAAAAGCUCCUCUGAAAAAAGAAGCUGAAUAAAUAGAGAAAGAAAUAAGAAAAAAGUGAAGAAACAGAAGCAUGGAGAUUGAGUGACUUGACCAGUCAGAGUUAGAGAAGAGAUUGGAAUUCAGACCCAGGUCUCCCAUAGUCACCUGCCAGAAAUCAUUCUUCAUUCCAUGGAAAAUGGAGAAUUGGUGAUUUGCAAUUCUGUUAAGAACGAUUGGGAAAUCACGCACUUCCAAAGUCAUUGGAAGCCUCUGAAUUACCAUCCUUAAGGAAUAAAUCUUGUCCAAA